ensembl:snoRNA
AAAUAUAUAUGAGAUGGGCACUGUUGAUUUUGGUGUCCAAAAAUUGUUUAUGUGGCUAAACUGAGACACAGGUUAUGCUUCUAACACAGUUUAUGUAUUGCAGUGGUGACAAUGAGGCCUGGAAUAUUU